UUGCCUUACUUGGAAUCACUGAGGGUAUAGCUAGCUAAUUUAUUCCUACUUAUUUUUGCUACUGCAAAGCAUCUUUUAUGUGUAGCUUUACCUGACUGCUUUGGCUGCUGAUGGGUGUGUUCCUUAUUCCUCACCACUAGCUUGGUCAGACUGAUCAGGACCUUGUAAGUGGUUGUCACCACUUCAGAGGAAGGCUAAAAUGCAAGGAAAGGAGAUAUCAAUCAUCACCACAAGUCAAAUUUAUUACAGGGGAGGAACUAUUUUAAAUUAAGACUUUCAUGCCAAAAGGGUGUUAACAGAUGUUCACAUCCACGGUUCAGAACACCUAGAGAUAAAUGAUAUGGAAAAAGGCCUCUGUGACACGGGUCCCUGCUGGCCCUGACUGUACAGGCAGGAAGACACCUAGAUAGAAGAAAAAGAAAGGGUUUAAGAGAGAAAUGGAGAACAGAGAAAGAAGAAGUAACAAGAGUGGCACACCGGAACUGCAAAGAUUUAAAUGGAGAGAGAGAGAGAAGAGUGGAAAGAAAUGACUGCCAAGACCAGUAUGUGUUUGCAUGAUCUCCUUGUCUGUUGUUCUCCAGUUGUGGGGUUUUCCUUGGAAGGAAGUUGUGUGACUCAUCAAGUGAAUAUUCAGCUAAAAUGAAGGGGAUCAUGCAGUCUCUAAUUCAUCUACCAUCUAUAUUUUUAUCCUUGCUAUUAUUUCGUUUACUCAGUGAGAGGGCUAUACCAUUAUUUUCUGUUACUGUAUAAAUAUAGAUGAGAAACAGUUCUGUUGAUGCAUUUAAAUAAGGUAAGCAGCAGAAGAAAUUCAAUUCAGAGUACAUUGCCAUAUCAAACAGCUAAAUCAGACUGUUGUAAUGAAAUAUGUUUGAUGCAGCUUCUUGCUGCAUUUCAGGAAAUCUGCAAAAAAAUAGUUGAGGGGAAAAAUGAAGGGUGAAGAGAAAAUAGUCAGAUUUCCAGUAUUUGAGAUCAAAUUCUCUCAAAGUAGAGAUCAUUGAGACUACACAUGUGGGUUAUUUAACUUUAGUAAUAAAUCAUCUCUGUAUUUGCCAGUCAAGAAAAGGACUUGUAGGAAUUGUCAUGUUAACAUAAGCUCUCAUCUUGCAAAGAGCUGUGUGUGCUGGACCUCCCUUACAUACCAGGUUCACCUGGGUAUUUGCACAUAGUAGAUCUUGGACCAGAUCUGGGCAGCAUUUGCUGUAGAGCAGAGUAUUUAUUGCUGGGGAUGGUCAGAUGGGGAGGUGAUAUUCAGUCCUGAUUCAUAGCACUCUUCUCUCAUAUAUAUUGAGUGAAAACCUAAUGAUAUUCUCUACUUCAAAAAACCCUAACAAAUCAGCAAGUCUAACAGUUUCCAUCAUGAGCAUUUUAUUCAUAAAAUACUGAUGUGUAGGACUAUAAAUUAGUUUGACUUGACUAUUUUAAAAAAAAUUACAGAAAAUGUUUUUCUUUUUGGCAAUGAAAAUGUGAGAAGCAAAUGUAAACGCUGAGAGUGCUGAGGAGUUAGUGAAAUGAAAUGUGAUAUGGACAUUUUGUUUGAAAAAUCAGUACGUCCUCUCUUUGGGAAGGGGAACUCUUUCUGGGCUUUCUCUGUUAAGGGUACCUACGUCCUUCCUGGCAUCAUAUUCAUCAACAGGGACUCCAAGGAGACCUGUAUUGUUGCUAGAAGUGCAGUGCUGCUAUUGCAAGUAAUAUGUCAUCAUAGCUGAGAUCAAGACUUGUCUGCAUGGAAACCCCAGUUUUCUUAACUGGCUUAAGAAAGUGGGACUGCUCUCUUUUCAGGCCUUUUGCUGAAGGAGGUUGAAUCAUAAACCUUUAAAAGAUGUCUUUCUUUUUUUUUUUAAUUUUAAACUUGUACCUUAUAAAGUUACGCUGCUGGCAUGAUUUGCAAUUGAAUUAGCUUUGUGUAUUUGAGCAGUGCUGUGUUUGGUAAUUCAUAACCAUUCAGAGAGGUUUCUGAGAAAUAUUUUCAUGUUUGUAUAUAAUACCAUUGUGCAAAUACUAAUUGCUUUCCUAAAACAAAAUAUCGGACAGGAAUUUCUGUUAAAUGUUUGGUGCUGACAGGUCUGUAAAACAUUAAUGGCUUGCAGCAACAACAUUUACCUACGUUGGAAUUUUCUGUUGUGCAUGUUAUCAUAAACCUAAACUCUUGAAAGUUGAAGGCUUGUUCUAGGAGGGGAGAUGCUCACAUCUAUUGAUGACAGAUUGGUUACAGUACACAAGUUUUGAGAACAGACUCUGAAAUAACUAAUGAAAAAUAGCAAGAGAAACCCAGUCUAGUAAGAUAACUCUUUCCAGCAGUCAUAUCACAAGGACUACUUUUAUGUCCUUCUGCUGUAGUAUUUAUUUUGUGCUACUUACUUUAUUCAUUGUUCAUCCUUUUGGAGAGUAAAAUCACUGGGGCUGAAAGACUAAUUAUGAAUUACCAAAUUGUUCAAAUCAAGCAGCAACAAAUACAACAGGAGAUAAGCUUGAGACAUUACAAAAUAUAUUCUGUUCACUUUUUGCUAUAGUAAUGUGGCUAAAAUGAUUUGUGAUGAUACAAUACCACCAUUGUCCAUGACGUACAGUAAGCACCACCUGUGGGGCUGUACUCAGGUUUUACUGAGGUAAAUCUAGCUUGCUGCUGAGGCAAAAGGGUGUUUUUACAGUCAGAUAAUAAUUGAUGGAAUAUAUUAUUCACACUUUUUAGGAUUGGUGUGUGUGGGAAGAUUAUUUCAGAGAACUUUAGAAGGAAGUAAUAGUUAUAACAUCAAUGUCUAUCUAUUUUUGUCCUACUUACAUGUCUUCCAAGUGUUUCUGUGAGAGAGCCAGAUUGUUUGAGGGCACAUGAGCCUUCUGUGAGAGUGUGUGUUAUUUUGCCUGCAAAAAGAUUCAUGUUGAACCUUCUGCCAUAUGAUUAGACCAUUUUGGUUAUGUUAGGCCAAUUAGAAUGUACACUGAGGGAUUUUUAAAGGGCUUUUCAAAAUGCUUUGACCUGGGAAAUUAUUACGGUGUAUAUUGACAGUAAAUAACCAAACAGAUAUCUUCAUAUAAUAUACUUUAUGCAGGGAAGAUGGUUUCAGUAAAGACAGUCAAUGAAACCUGAAAUUGGUCUUACGUUUAGCUUGCUGAAUGCUUUGAGGUUGGCUUUCAGGUUCAGUUCAGAUCAUAAUAGCACUCUCUUAAAUUCUAUGCCCAUAGCUGAUGUCUAUUAAAUGAAAUGUGAAAUACACUUAGAUACCACACCAAACCUUAUUGCCUCUUUUAUAACAGCAACACUUCUAUGGCAGUAAAGGAAUUGAUUCUCUUGUCUGGAUUAAUACUGUCCUACUUUAUAGAGAAAACAGAGAAAAUUAUCUAUUCAGAAAAGCACAGCCGUCUUAGAAGAAAAUUCACCUUUAUAUAAAUAAAUACAUACUCUGUGAAGAUAUUUAAAGUGCUUAAGUCAAACAAAAAUACUCAAUUCACAAGAAAACAAAAACCUGUGGAAAACAUUUGAAGUUAGAGAGAACAUUAAAAAUAAAAAUGGAAAUGUUUAUUUUGUAUGACACAAGUGUAACAAGAUUUGCAAAGGCAAAUCAACCAAGGCUAAUAAUAACGGCCAUUUCCACGUAAUUAAUCUGGGAGAUCAGCUCAAGACUGGGCACUGCUUGAUGCAAAGGUUCCUGGGACUAUCAUUAAAAGAUUUUUCUUCACUUAAAGAACAUGAUUAUUUUCUUGUGAGUAUGAAGAAAAAAGUGGAUUUUCUGUUUCUGAAUGACAGUAUAUAUGCUCUUACACAUAUUCCAGUCUGCACUUUAAAACACUUUAAAUAUAAGUUGGGUUGUGUGGAAGGUUUUAGAAAAAUGAAUGCAUAAAUUUAUAUCUAGUUGAAUUCUAGCUGGUUAUAAAAGGAGUAAAGAGUAUGAUUUGAAACUCGGAUUUAUUUUACAGAGACAUCAAGACAUUUCUGGCAGAUAAAAUGACUACUUCAAAUAAUAAGACAGUGCUAGAUAAAAUGUGUUGAAAAUCAUGCUUAUAACAUAAACUUUCAAUUGGCAAUAUUUUUUGAGAACUUUUAGAAGUCUUUGUGAAUGGGUGAAGACAUAUGAACAUUUGCAGGAGGAAUUAAAAAAUUUACACCUACAUAAAAAACCUAAAUAUUAGCAGACACAAAGGAGUUCUUGAAAGUGAAGUAGUGAAAUGAAAUGGUCAAAUGUAAGAUCACGGUGUGCUUUUGCAAAUCUCUGCAAGGAGGACCACUAGUACUAUUUAGCCCAAAAAGACUACAGAAAAGUAGAGCAAUGAAUAUGGAGGAUCUGUACACAAAGUCCUAGAUUUUUUUUUAAGGUGGAAGGAUGUUGUUUUAUUUAAGAAGUCCCAUACAGAAAAAAAGCUCUAUGUUUCCCUGAAACAUUUUAAUAAAUAUUUUCAAAUCCAAGAGAUCUUCCAAAGUAUGAAAGAACGUGCAGGAAAAAACACAGACAAUUUGUAAAGUUUGCAGAAGUUAGGAAUCAAAGUCAUGAAACUUAUUAAGUGCUGCUGUAAUUCAUGGAUGAUAACUCAGCUGCUUGUACAUUAUUAACUCCUGAUAAGGAUCAGAGUGAUCCAGAUGUGUAAAUGAAGAUAAUUUGAGGAGGAUGAAUGACCUUUCUGUUGAGGUCAUCGAGCAACUGAGUUUAGAUUGGCAGUCUGCUUGGUUUCCUGUGUCAUGAAAUGCCAGAGUACUAAUGUGAUGGAUAGAGUCCAAAGUAUUUUAUGCUACUUUGUCUGUAAGGUCACCCAGCCUUUAUAUGCAGAGGGCAGGUAUACAUAGAAUAACUUCCCCAUUUAAGAUAUUAGUUUCUAUUGCUUCUCAAGGUGAACUGUGAAACCUAACCAAGUAUAUUUUUUGGAUAGCCUUACUCUGCUAUCUAGACCAGAUGUAAGCGAUAGUGAAAGGAAAAAUUACAUGUAUUUUAACAAUGACAUGGCAGCAGGUUUAACUAGACCAGCUCUUUUCAGCCUUUCUCAAGAAUACCUUUGCAAAAAGGGCAUCUGCUCCCACAAACUUCAGAUCAUAAUUUGUAAUUCUCAGAUAGGGAGUUUAUUGUGUUUUUCUCCAGAAGAACCUUUGUAUUGUAAUUUUCUGUAAGAGACUUUGCUCUAGAAGCUGAAU